rnacentral:tRNA from 1 species
CACAAGAAAUGCAAAGAGAGCAGCUAGUCUUUUAAACUAGUAACUGGGUUUCCCUCUUGUGC